CAAAGGUUUGGUCCUAGCUUUAUUAUCAGCUUUAACCUAAUUUACACAUGCAAGUCUCCGCACUCCUGUGAGAAUGCCCUUAUCGUCCUGCCAAGGAACUAAGGAGCAGGUAUCAGGCACGAUCAAUCAGCCCAACACACCUUGUUCUACCACACCCCCACGGGUAGUCAGCAGUGAUAAACUUUUAGCUAUAAGUGAAAACUUGACUCAGUCAAGGUUAAAAGGGCCGGUAAACCUCGUGCCAGCCACCGCGGUUAGACGGAGGGCCCAAGUUGAUAAACAGCGGCGUAAAGCGUAGUUAAGAUAACAAACAAAUAGGACCGAAUACUCUCAAAGCAGUUAAAUGCAUUCGAGACCACUAAGCACACCCACGAAAGUGACCCUAAUAGUUCUGACCCUACGAAAGCUAUAACACAAACUGGGAUUAGAUACCCCACUAUGUAUUGCCGUUAAAAUUGAUGGUACUUCACUCGAACCAUUCGCCCGGGAAUUACAAGCCCAAGCUUAAAACCCAAAGGACCUGGCGGUGCUUUAGAUCCCCCUAGAGGAGCCUGUUCUGUAACUGACAACCCCCGGUAAACCUCACCACCCCUUGCCCAAUCCGUUUAUAUACCACCGUCGCAAGCUUACCCUACUGAAGGUUAAAAAGUGAGCCCCAACAGUAUUCCUGUGAACGUCAGGUCGAGGUGUAGCAUAUGGGGUGGGAAGAAAUGGGCUACAUUCCCUAAUGAAGAGAUUACGAAUGGCGGUUUGAAAAAACUGCACUGAAGGAGGAUUUAGUAGUAAGGAAGGAAUAGAGUGCCCUCCUGAAAAUGGCCCUAAAGCGCGUACAAACCGCCCGUCACUCUCUCCGUGAUCUUUCUAUUUAUUCAUAAUACGUAAUAAUUCAAUAAGGUGAGACAAGUCGUAACAUGGUAAGUGUACCGGAAGGUGCACUUGGAUGAAC
rnacentral:ncRNA from 1 species